GGCAGAGUCCUGCGCAGGAUGGGAACAUUUGGAACCCUACCUGGACACGAGCCACACCGACAGAAGCCAGCCGAGUCCUGUUUUCAGAGCAUGCUCCUCCAUGCAUGCUGACUUCAGAAGAAGAGCUAGCCCACACUGGCGGGUCCAGCUGCCCAGACACAGCCAGUUCUGGGGCCCCAUUCUGCCCCGCAGAGCAGCCACCAAGGGCCGCCAUGUUGAAUGCUGUCCAGGUUGAACAUCCUGUUACUUCCUGCUGCAUCAUCCAUAUAAACUAAGAUUUAAAUGGUGCCCCGCUGGAGUUGUGCAUCAUGGCAGGCUACCAUCCAUUCUGAUUAAGAACACAGAAAAACAUAUGGAUGCCUUGAACGAACAGAGAGCAUUGAUAACUAGUCUAUGGCUGUAGGCACAAUUAAAGGAUUUGUGGAAACAAUAGUAAUAUGGAUCUUUGGCUAGAACUGAAAGUUGCUUUGAAUUUUUAAUAUGGCUUUUGCCCUGAAGACAAAUCACUGUUUUGAUUCCAUUCAUAGAAAACAUUUGGUCAUUUCAGGAAAAGAAGGUAGAGAAGCAAAGAGAAGCCAAUGGGCUCUUCCCCAUAAGGCUGUUGUGAAGAUUGGAUCUUAGGUACAGAGCUCCACUCAUGAUGUAUGCUUAUAAGUAUUAGCUAGCGAAGCUGGUAUUAGCAUGAUCUUGGCUUAUUACAGAUAUUAAAGAGAAGGAAUUGGAUAUGAUUCUAGUAUGAAAAUCAAAUAGGUAUA